rnacentral:lncRNA from 1 species
CUGGCUUCUUUCAGUUAGCACAAUGUUUUCAAGAUUUAUCCAUGUUGCAGCAUGUAUCAGUAAUUUGUUUCCUUUUAUGGCCAAAUAAUAUUCCACUGCAUGAAUAACACCACAUUUUGUUUAUCUUUUCAUUAGUUGAUGGACAUUUGGGUUGUUUCUCCUUUUUGGCUGUUAUGAAUAAUGCUGCUAUGAGCAGAUGAGAAAACUGAGGCUUGACCCAAGGAAAGGCUGUCAGGUGCUAGAGGUGGGUUUUCAACCUCUCUGAACCACAGGACCUAUUACCUCUAUACAGAGUGGAAACCAACAAAAUGCCAGUUGGACAGAUGGACGGACAGUGGAUGCCAGGAUGGGUGCUGCUGAACGGGAACGGGGACAGGUCUUUUUUGCUGGAUAUCCUUUGGUGACUUUUGAAUUCUGCACUGAGUGCUUCUUUCUAAAAUAAAUACAUAAAAUGACAAAGAGGACUAAUAUCCUACAAGCAGAAUAAAAGACCACUUUUGAAGGAUCUAAAAUCAGCUUAGCUCCUGCUUUCAUUUUUCCAGAAAUAAACAUUCUAAGCCCAGCAAGAUGCCCUGACUGCUGCUGCUCCAUUCUUGUACAUUACAAAGAAAUGAGGCAAAAAUUGGGCAGGAAAUUGUUUGCAGUAAGAAUGACAGGACAUAGUUAUUUCAUUUUAUAAUUUAUUUUAAUUUUAAAUGGACAAAUAAAAAUUAUAUAUAUUUAUGGUGUACAACAUGAUGUUUGAUAUAUGUACGCAUUGUGGAAUGACAAAAUCAAGCUAAUUAACAUACUCAUUACCUCACAUACUUAUUUUAUUGUGAUGAGAACAUGUUUAAAAUCUAUUCUUACAGCAAUUUUCAAGUACACAAUACAAAGUAACUGUAGUUACCAUGCUGUUUAAUAGAUCUCUAGAACUUACUCCUAUCUGAAAUUUUGUAUUAUUUGACUAACAUCUCCCCAAUCUCUCCCCCGCCCCUGCCUUGGGUAACCACCAUUCUGCUCUCUACAACUAUGAGUUCAAUAUUUUUAGAUUCCACAUAUAAGUGAGAUCAUGCAGUAUUUGUCUUUCUGUGCUUGCUUUUUAAAACUUCAUUAUGUAUUUAUUUAUUUUUUGAGACAGGGUCUCACUCUGUCACCCAGGCUGGAGUACAGUGACACAAACAUGGCUCACCAUGGCCUCCACCCCCUGGGGUCAACAGAUCCUCCCACCUCAGCCUCCUGAGUAGCUAGGACUACAGGCAUCCAGCACCACACCUGGCUAAUUUUUGUAUUUUUUGUCGAGAUGGGGUUCACCGUGUUGCCCAGGUUGGUCUCGAACUCCUGGGCUCAAGCGCUCCACCUGCCUUGGCCUCCCAAAGUACUGGGAUUACAGGCAUGAGCCACCGCGCCUGGCCUUUGCUUUAUUUCACUCAGUAUAACAUCCUCUAGGCUCAUUCAUGUUGCAAAUGACAUGACUUCUUUCUUUU